UUGCAGCUAGAUCGCGCCGGUGCCCCGCAAGGGGCUUAAAAUGGGAAUGCGGUGCGGGCGUGCAAGCGCCCAAUUCCGUGGCUGUCCCUGCAACUGUAAGCGGUGAGCAUGAUGCACGCGGGUCGCAAGACCCGGCCACUGGACAGCUUUUGUCUGGGAAGGUCCGUGCAGCAUUGCCCUGACCCGCGAGCCAGGAGACCUGCCGGCGUCUGGUCGCUCUU
rnacentral:ncRNA from 2 species